GGUCACAGCAAGUAAGCUUCUGAAGGAACUGGUAUGUAGAUAUGGAGUACCUGAAGUAAUUGAAAGUGACAGAGGUAGCCAUUUCACUGGGGAAAUAAUGCAAGAAAUUAUGAAAACCUUAGGGAUCAGUCAGGCCUUCCACACCCCCUAUCACCCCAAGAGUAGUGGGAAAGUAGAAAGGGAAAAUGGCACCUUAAAGAACAAGAUUGCAAAAGCCAUGCAAGACACAGGGAAGCCCUGGACUGAAUGCCUUCCCCUAGCACUCUUUUCUAUGAGAGUCACCCCCAAUUCCAGACAUGGC
rnacentral:lncRNA from 1 species